UACGUAGGGUGCAAGCGUUAAUCGGAAUUACUGGGCGUAAAGCGUGCGCAGGCGGUUCUAUAAGACAGAUGUGAAAUCCCCGGGCUCAACCUGGGAACUGCAUUUGUGACUGUAGAGCUGGAGUACGGUAGAGGGGAUGGAAUUCCGCGUGUAGCAGUGAAAUGCGUAGAUAUGCGGAGGAACACCGAUGGCGAAGGCAAUCCCCUGGACCUGUACUGACGCUCAUGCACGAAAGCGUGGGGAGCAAACGAGG
rnacentral:rRNA from 1 species